AGAUUUAGCAUUUAGCAGCAUGUCGAAAUAGGGCAUGACUAGUAUAAAGAGAUUGGAAAUUUGUUCAAAAUUGUUUAUAACUAGCAUGAAAAUGCGUUACGUCCUAACGGUUUGUGUGGGAUAAGAGGCUGGCUAGAGAAAUUCCUGAGCAAAUCUCCAAAAAGGAUUUAAAUUAAUCCAAAGCAAGUUAGCAGCUGAUGACUGGCAUGCAAAAUGCCAGACAGAUUUAUGAGAACGGACAGAUUUGGAGCAAGAGGCUGGCAAACCGAAUGAGGGGCUUUUGGGGGAAACACUGAGUUGGCAAACGAUGUUACGCAUUAGACAAACAACAAGCAGUCGGACGAGUCCAAAUAUAAAAUCCGAGAGCUCGAGUUUCAAACUGAAGACGAAAUUAAGCCGUAUGCUGAUUUCAUUUUAAUUACGAAGCUGCCUCACAGCGAUGGCAAUCAGGCAUGGCAAAGCUGGAUCAGCUUAGAGCGACAAGUGCGUAAUGCACAUGAUGCAUUCAAACAAACUAGUACGAGUGUGAGCCAGAGUCGAGUCCGAGUAUAAUUGCAGAGCAGCCAGAUUGAGCUAAAGAUGCCAACCCAAAUACGAAAGUCGACUCUUGAAUUAGCCAGACUGUGGCCGCUGAGAACUGUGGCCUCGUGUUCACUUAGCGAUCGUCACCUCCACUUUUGCGUUCGCCAUUCGUCAAACUUUGUUAAUGUGUCGGGACCAAGUGCAACAGUCAUAACUCAUUUGCCACUAAACUGGCUGCCCAAAACGUAUUUAUUGUUUGGGCCAUGAACGUGAGCCCCGUUCAGGAAAGAAAAAAAACCAUACAGCCACAGCAAAUAACAAAAAUGUUGCAAAUUGGAAUUAUGUAUGGCCAGUCCUAUGAAUAGGGCAGCAAAACCAAGUCAGACGCCUCUUGCACGUCACGCAUUUUACUGAGUAGCCCGUGGGCCAGCUCCAUUUUACCCCUGAACCCGACGACUGCGUCGGCUGCCCGCAGCGCAACAAUGAAUAUGGACAAACUUGCAAGCGCAGGCGAAAGUUUUUUUUCUUCAUUUAAUUUUUUUGUUUGUGGAAUAGGAGGACUUGGACUUUCAUUCAGUGCCAGAGCCAGCGACACGUUGGCGACAUUGACAAAUGCAUUUGGGAUCAACGACGCGUUGACGUGCGCACGCAUACAAAACUCCUAAAAUAAUAUAUUGUAAUAUAUACUUGCAGCGUAUAGGAUGCCCUUGUCCUGGAAAAUGUUCGCUGGGAUUAUGUUGUGGACUUUACAAUUAGUUCAUAGACAUUUGCUUGAUUUUCAUAAAUGCAAUGUAUGCAGAGUUUAAUUCGAUUUUUACUGUAGUUUUAUUCUCAAAUUUUUAUGUGAUGAUUUUUGUUGUGAUCAAGAUUUUGUAGUGUAGAUUUCAACUUUUAAAAAAUGUUAUUGGUACUAGCUACCAACCCCUGCAACCAACUCCUGCAAUAGAAGAAUUAGAGAUAUGUAGAAAUAUUUCAGAAAUAUCAUAGGACUCGAGGAGCUGCGCAUGAGAUGAAAGCUACGGCGGUUCAUUGCAUGCGAUCCUAAUGUUUUAUUAGACUGGUGCAAGUUUUAGUUUAUUGUAUUAGACUGUCGAAACGAUGCGACAUCCAAAGGAUGGUACCCAAUCGUACCUACCUCCGCACCCCACUCUCCUCCAAACGCUGGCAAUUAUGGCGCGCGUGACACUCGCCGCUUUAGCCGCUUAUCUUUUAUUUAACGUGUUCGCUCUGUAUAAAUAUGGAGUAGCCGGAGCUGGAGCCGGAGCCUCAGAAGCUGGGCUACUCCAGCCGGCUAGCCAGCCAACCAGCCAGCCAACCAGCCAGCCAUCCAGUCAACCAGCCGGCAAUAGCUUCAUUUGUGUCGCCGCCGUUGCCUUUGCAACUCCUGCACUUCAUUAAUUAUGCGAGCUGCUCUCAGGCUCGCCGGCUUACGUCUAGCGGAUGGGGAGCAGAAUGGAUGGGCACGGCCAAGCAAUGUUCCAGUCAUCGUCAUCGUCAGCGUCAUCGUCAUCGUUUGCGGCAUGAUAAAGUUGUAAUUUGUUGGCAGUUAAAGGUGUUGCUUAUAGUGCAACUAAUCGACGUAAUAAACUAAACUAUGCGUAGCUAAACGAGGUCUCUACAAUUUGUCGCAAAUGAUGAUGAUGAUAAUGAUGCUAAUGAUGAUGGUUACAAAUGAUGAAAUAUCAAUCAACAGAAACUCUAUAAAAGUAAGUAAAGGAAGAAUUAGGAUAAAGAUCAAUGUAAAACUGAAAUCGUGUAAAGAGAUAUUAUUGAAAAAUGUUUAUGCACUUUAAUUAUUUAAUUUUAAGUUAAAAUUUUGAAAUGUUUAGGUACUCCACAUUGCUAAACUUUUAUAUUAUCCAUUUAUUUUUGUAACAUGAAAUGUUAUCAUGUAGAUAUGUGAAAUUCUUAACAUUAACACUCACAUAAGAAGUGUUGGAAAGCAAUACGUUUACUUAGAAUAUGUAACAUGCUUAGCAUAAAAUGACUAUUGAGUGUUGAAAUUUCUGGAAAAUAUAAAGGGAAAGGUUCAAGUAAUUAAUAUAUCAAAUUGAUGUUAAAGUGCUUUAUAUAUUAGAUAGCUCUUGGCAAGUAAUAUAUGUAUAUGAAGUAAUAAAACAGAGUAACUCGGAGAGAAUAUAUUAAACUCAGAAAGACUUAUACGUGCCUUUUGUUAACGUCGAAAUGAUACAAUAUCUGACAACAAGAAAGUUCUCAGACGCGGUUCCUUGCCACAGUUCGCUGCACGGAAGGGCGUAUGCAAAUAGAAUUGGUGUCAACAACGGCAACAACAAUAACACAAACAGACACUUAAGUGAAAACCCAAAGAGGGCAAUGCAACAGCCAGAACCAAAAGGUAAAUAGCUGCAGCAAGUGGAUGCCCAUUUGGCAUUGGCCUCCACACUGGCCGCGGCCUCGUGGAUGGAUGCCGAUAUGCUGCCAGCCAUAUAAUGCAGCUCAUCAGCAACAGACGGAGGCAAAUGCAACAUGUGCUUCAUUGCACACACACACACACACACACACACACAUCACACACAUCACACACACACGCAGAGAGAGAAAGAAAGAGAACGACCUGGCCAUAAACAAAUAUGAGUAGCUGUGCAGCCUGUGCUGCCUUCUUCUGCCGCAGUUGCAAGAAGUGUGGGAAAAUUUUCGGAAUUUCUUUUGCCCCUCGCGAAAGACAGGUUUUCGUUUUGGCCCAAACUGUGUGGACCAUUGCUGCAGCUGGAGCUGGAGCUAGAGCUGGGGCGUGGCGGGGCAAGUCUUUCGCUAGUUCGGGCUAGGCAUGCCAACUAGCGAAAUUCUUUUUGAUAAUUUAAUUUAAGAAAUAUUGUAUGUAGCCUUGCUAGAUGUCCGCACGCCAGACGCCGACGACCCCUUGACCAGCGGGGCACGCGAAUGCAGCGCAACGAAUUCCCGCCUGGUUUGUCUAGUGUUCAGUUUGGUUCUCGUUAUGCUCUAGCUCAGUGUGCCGAAUUUAAGCCAAUAAUCAUUCUCUCUGUUCGCCUAGCAACAGCAGAGAACUUUCUCUGCUUUCUUAGCAUAUAUCCUGAUUCUGUAUUUGACAAUAUUUUAACUACAAUAUUUUCCGAUUACCAAAUUACUUGCCAAACAC